rnacentral:misc_RNA from 1 species
UAUCAAAUAGGUUUUUUUUUUUUUCUCUGUAUGUUAGUUUUAAUGGAACUGAGAUUUUCUUUUUUUGCUCUUUAGUUUUUGUUAUAAAUAAUGAUAUUGAUUUCUUUUUCUGGGUUCUUAGGCUCUACCAAAUCAGCAGACUGUUGAUUAUCCAAGCUUCAAGCUUGUAAUUGUUGGCGAUGGUGGUACAGGGAAAACUACCUUUGUGAAAAGGCAUCUUACAGGCGAGUUUGAGAAGAAAUAUGAGCGUAAGAACUACCUUCAUCAUUUCAGUUCAAUCUCGUACUUUUGCCUUUUUUUUUCUUUUUAAAAAUGUUAAUGCUGUAGUGCUCAUCCACUUGAAAGUGGAGGUUGGGAUGAAAAAUUGUUGGCAUUUUCUGUCAUGCGUGCGAAAUUAAUUCUCUCUUUUUAAACGCAGCAACCAUUGGCGUGGAAGUUCAUCCCUUGGACUUCUUCACCAACUGUGGAAAAAUCCGAUUCUACUGCUGGGACACAGCUGGACAAGAGAAGUUUGGUGGGCUAAGAGAUGGAUAUUAGUGAGUUAUUAGUUCCUUCUCCUCAUUGCUCAUUGCUUGAAUAGUUUAACUUGGAUAAUAACUAUUUAAUGUUUUGAGGUAUAUAAUGUUUGUUAGCUUAAUUUUGUAUAAAUUACCGUAAGGCCUUCCUGCUUUGCAAUCUGUUAAUUUUUACUCUGUAUUAUAUCUCUAGAAUCAACUUUUAAAUUUUUAAUAGAACUUUGGAAUGAAUGUUUCUGUCCCAACCAUGCAUUACAAAAGUUUUGAGAAAAUAUCCACUUCCAGGAUGUUUCAUUUUUUUUGUUUUUUUUGGUUGGUAAAGCUUGUUUGUACCGUGCAUGUCAAGGUUCCUAAAGGGUUUUAUAUGGUCACCUUUUCUUCUUUUCUGUUUUGGUAACUUUUAAAGAGGUUUCUUGUAGAUUUCAUUUCUUGAAAUUUGUUUUAGAAUGGCCUCUCAUGUUUAGGCAUUCCUGGGCUUGUUUGUUUAAUUUUUCUUCUUGUUUCUUUUAUAAUCUUGUUUUUUCAGUUUCUUCAAUUGAUUUACCAUGAAUGUGAUUGUGCAGCAUCCAUGGUCAAUGUGCUAUCAUAAUGUUUGAUGUUACUGCUCGGUUGACUUAUAAGAAUGUGCCCACAUGGCAUCGGGAUCUUUGCAGGGUUUGUGAAAAUAUCCCUAUUGUUCUUUGUGGAAACAAAGUUGAUGUGAAAAACAGGCAGGUGAAGGCAAAGCAGGUUACCUUCCACAGGAAAAAGAAUUUACAAUACUAUGAGAUUUCGGCAAAGAGCAAUUAUAAUUUUGAGAAGCCUUUUCUGUAUCUUGCAAGAAAACUUGCUGGGGAUCCUAAUUUGCAUUUUGUUGAAUCUCCAGCCCUGGCACCUCCAGAAGUGCAAAUUGACCUGGCAGCACAGCAACAGCAUGAGGCUGAGCUUGCUGCUGCUGCUAGUCAACCUCUACCAGAUGACGAUGAUGACACAUUUGAGUAAGGAGCGCUGGCGAGGUGCUAUUUGAAGGAAGAAGUUUUAAUGUAUGGUCAUGAGGAUGUAGUUUUAUGUCCAACAUGAGGAAUAUGGACUUUCAUUAUUUCUGGGUUACAUUAUUACCCGUUUGUCUCUAGUUUAGCAUUUGAUCAUUUUGUGCGGGGGUUUUGCUAUGUUUAUUCUUUCUCAUCGCACCGAAAGUUUUAAGUUGAUGCGUAAACACUGUAGGAUGUUAUAGUGUUGCCUUAUAUAUUUAUCUUGAUCUUGCAUUGAUUGUGCUUAAUUUCGUAGCAUUACUUUUCUUAGUGCGAAUGUUUCAUUUUGUAGGAAUUGCUGCCAAUG